UGGAUUUGAAAGAAAACGAUUUUCAUUCAAGGGGGAUUAAUAAAGUAUCGUCCAUGUAUUUAUUAUUAGAAUUCAGUUAUAGCAAACAAUGCAACAAAGAGCUGCAAUAAGAGCAGGAUGACCAUGAAAGUAGUGAGACAGACAUCAGAGAGAGGAGAUGCAAAAGACCUGCAGCAUGUUGGUGCGUUGCUUUUCAACUCGUCUGUUCUGCGUUUGCAGCCCUAGCAGCAACGAGCACUGAACAUUCAUUGAGGUAACGCUGACUGUCACUUUCACCAGUGAGUCUGGAUCUCAAGCACAAGUUUCAUGAAAAACAAGACGUAGGGCCCGGAGGAUGAGGAACGCUAGGACUGGGGUGAGGAAUUAUUUAUUAUGCCAAAGGACACCUGCUUCCAGAGGGAGAGAGAGAGGAUAGCUCUCCAUCUAUUCCCCGCUGGUCAGACGCCAUCGAGGGAAGAAGCGAGCCGAGCCGAGCCGAGCGGUUAAGUAUCGCCCCGACUGAGGAAGAAAGAAAGAGAGUGGGCGAUGAGGAGGAGGAAACAAGAGGGAUGCGAGGGGAAGAGCGCAUUGCAGCACCACGCAAAUCCAGAGAAGAACGCACCUUCGGGGAGAGCUCGCCUGCAGAAGUCUUACACAAAACUAAAUUCACUUUCCUCGCAGCUGCAUCAAAGCAAAUUCUAACAGAGAGCUGUACUAUGGCAAUCAGUCGCCUUUUCAGCUGCUGGAGCUGCGCAGCUCGUAUGCUUUUAUACCCUCCACUAUGUAAAUUACAAGGAGAACAUUGAGUGAAAUGUUCCCAUCAGCCUAAUGUAUUAUGUGCAUUAAGCUAACACAGCUUUCAGCCUGCAGAGCGGAAACACAGACCCAAUGAGAGUAGAAACUCAGAAGGACAUGUCUGGAGAAUUAGAGGUGGUCUGACCUUUUAAACCUUGAAGUCUUGGGACUUUAAUAAUCCCCCAAUAUCUACACAACAUGCACAGAACUAUGUGGACAUGCCAACAUUACACCAAUAUCAGGGCUAGGACGAUACACCUAUCUCCUGAUUUGAUAGUAUCACGAUACUUGGUCCCGAUUCACGAUAUGUUUUGUGAUUUUUAAGUGCUGUGAUUUAACAUUAUGAUUUAAUGUGAUUUGUUAACUUUUUUAACACUAGAUCAUGAAGGCAAAAAGUUGAAUCAUACACUUCUAGGGACUUUUACUUUGGAAAAUCUCUAAA